rnacentral:rRNA from 1 species
UACGUAGGGGGCAAGCGUUGUCCGGAUUUAUUGGGCGUAAAGAGCGUGUAGGCGGCUAGGUAGGUCCGUUGUGAAAACUCGAGGCUCAACCUCGAGACGUCGAUGGAAACCAUCUGGCUAGAGUCCGGAAGAGGAGAGUGGAAUUCCUGGUGUAGCGGUGAAAUGCGCAGAUAUCAGGAGGAACACCAGUGGCGAAGGCGGCUACCUGGCCUAAGACUGACGCUGAGGUGCGAAAGCGUGGGGAGCGAACGGG